AUUGAACGCUGGCGGCAUGCCUUGCACAUGCAAGUCGAACGGUAACGGGCCUUCGGGUGCCGACGAGUGGCGAACGGGUGAGUAAUGUAUCGGAACGUACCUUUCAGUGGGGGAUAACGUAGCGAAAGCUACGCUAAUACCGCAUAUUCUGUGAGCAGGAAAGCAGGGGAUCGCAAGACCUUGCGCUGAUUGAGCGACCGAUAUCAGAUUAGCUAGUUGGUGGGGUAAAGGCUCACCAAGGCGACGAUCUGUAGCGGGUCUGAGAGGAUGAUCCGCCACACUGGAACUGAGAAACGGUCCAGACUCCUACGGGAGGCAGCAGUGGGGAAUUUUGGACAAUGGGGGCAACCCUGAUCCAGCCAUGCCGCGUGAGUGAAGAAGGCCUUCGGGUUGUAAAGCUCUUUCGGCCGGGAAGAAAUCGUAUCAGCUAAUACCUGGUGCGGAUGACGGUACCGGCAUAAGAAGCACCGGCUAACUACGUGCCAGCAGCAGCCGCAGUAA
rnacentral:rRNA from 1 species